rnacentral:rRNA from 1 species
GUAGGUGGCAAGCGUUGUCCGGAAUUAUUGGGCGUAAAGCGCGCGCAGGCGGUUCUUUAAGUCUGAUGUGAAAGCCCACGGCUCAACCGUGGAGGGUCAUUGGAAACUGGAGAACUUGAGUACAGAAGAGGAAAGCGGAAUUCCACGUGUAGCGGUGAAAUGCGUAGAGAUGUGGAGGAACACCAGUGGCGAAGGCGGCUUUCUGGUCUGUAACUGACGCUGAGGCGCGAAAGCGUGGGGAGCAAACAGGAUUAGAUACCCUGGUAGUCCACGCCGUAAACGAUGAGUGCUAAGUGUUAGGGGGGUUUUCCGCCCCCCUUAGUGCUGCAGCUAACGCAUUAAGCACUCCGCCUGGGAGUACGGCCGCAGGGCUG